rnacentral:rRNA from 1 species
UGGGGGGUGCAAUCUGCCCGGUGCACUGAGAGUGUAAACGGCCGCGGUACCCUGACCGUGCGAAGGUAGCAUAAUAACUUGCCUAAUAAUUGCAGGCUAGAAUGAAAGAUCAGACGAGAGGCUAGCUGUCUCCCCCACAACGAUAAAACCUAACCUCCGGGUGAAGAGGCCCCUAUCCCACCAAAGGACGAAAAGACCCUGUCGAGCUUAAGUGGUACGGUCCGCUAGCUACCCUCCCAGAAACCCCCACUUUUGUCGGGAAAAUAAAGGAUAAACAACAACAUCCUUAAAAAAAUUUCCAAUAAGAAAACAACCCCCGCCUAGCGCAACCAAACAAGCUACCGCAGGGAUAACAGCGUAAUUUCUUUUGAGAGCCCACAUUGACAAAGAAGAUUGCGACCUCGAUGUUGGACUAAGAAACCUAUUAGGAGCACAAACCUAAUGAAGGGGGUCUGUUCG